GACGAACGCUGGCGGCGUGCUUAACACAUGCAAGUCGUACGGUAAGGCCCUUUCGGGGGUACACGAGUGGCGAACGGGUGAGUAACACGUGAGUAACCUGCCCACAACUUUGGGAUAACGCUAGGAAACUGGUGCUGAUACUGGAUAUGUGCUCCUGCUGCAUGGUGGGGGUUGGAAAGCUCCGGCGGUUGUGGAUGGACUCGCGGCCUAUCAGCUUGUUGGUGGGGUAGUGGCCUACCAAGGCGGCGACGGGUAGCCGGCCUGAGAGGGUGACCGGCCACAUUGGGACUGAGAGACGGCCCAGACACCUACGGGGGGCAGCAGUGGGGAAUAUUGCACAAGGGGCGCAAGCCUGAUGCAGCAGCGCCGCGUGCGGGAUGACGGCCUUCGGGUUGUAAACCGCUUUCAGCAGGGACGAAGCUUUUUGUGACGGUACCUGCAGAAGAAGCACCGGCUAACUACGUG
rnacentral:rRNA from 1 species